rnacentral:rRNA from 1 species
AGAACGAACGCUGGCGGCAGGCCUCAAACAUGCAAGUCUAGGGGAUGUAGCAAUACAUCACCGGCGGACGGGUGCGUAACACGUGGGAAUAUACCUUUCGGUACGGAACAACUGCGGGAAACUGCAGCUAAUACCGUAUACGUCCUUACGGAGAAAGAUUUAUCGCCGAAGGAUUAGCCCGCGUUCGAUUAGCUAGUUGGUGAGGUAAUGGCUCACCAAGGCGACGAUCGAUAGCUGUUCUGAGAGGAAGAUCAGCCACACUGGGACUGAGACACGGCCCAGACUCCUACGGGAGGCAGCAGUUGGGAAUCUUGGACAAUGGGGGAAACCCUGAUCCAGCCAUGCCGCGUGAGUGAUGAAGGCCUUGGGUUGUAAAGCUCUUUUACCCGGGAAGAUAAUGACUGUACCGGGAGAAUAAGCUCCGGCUAACUUCGCGCCAGCAGCCGC